GCCAGACUCCUACGGGAGGCAGCAGUGGGGAAUAUUGCACAAUGGGGGGAACCCUGAUGCAGCAACGCCGCGUGGGUGAAGAAGUACUCCGGUAUGUAAAGCCCUGUCAGCAGGGAAGAAAAUGACGGUACCUGACCAAGAAGCCCCGGCUAACUACGUGCCAGCAGCCGCGGUAAUACGUAGGGGGCGAGCGUUAUCCGGAUUCACUGGGUGUAAAGGGAGCGUAGACGGCCAAGCAAGCCAGGGGUGAAAGCCCGGGGCCCAACCCCGGGACUGCCCUUGGAACUGCAUGGCUGGAGUGCGGGAGGGGCAGGCGGAAUUCCUGGUGUAGCGGUGAAAUGCGUAGAUAUCAGGAGGAACACCGGCGGCGAAGGCGGCCUGCUGGACCGCGACUGACGUUGAGGCUCGAAAGCGUGGGGAGCGAACAGGAUUAGAUACCCGAGUAA
rnacentral:rRNA from 1 species